rnacentral:lncRNA from 1 species
AAAAUUCCUCCUUUCUUCACCCAAUGAGCCUCAAUCUCAGACUUGUGAAGGACUACUCUACACAAGUCGAACAUGACUAUACCAUCCUCGUAUCUUAAUUACACUCAAGUUCGGGUUAGAACUUAUCUCACCACUCAGAGAUCACCAAGCACAACAAGCAGAUCAUAUCAUACAAACAAAUAUACAAGCAUUAACUAUACAAAUAUAUACACAUAAAAGAGUAGGCUAAACCCACUGAGGACUAAUCCCCAGCAGAGUC